GAUGAACGCUGGCGGCGUGCUUAAUACAUGCAAGUCGAACGAGAAACUUUUGUCUUCGGAUGGAGGUUUUCUAGUGGCGAACGGGUGAGUAACGCGUUGGUGACCUGUCCCGAAGUGGAGAAUAACAGUUCGAAAGGAUUGCUAAUACUUCAUGAUAUCAAUUGGAUUAGAUACCUUUUGAUCAAAGGCGAAAGCCGCUUUGGGAGGGGCCUGCGUCCCAUCAGCUAGUUGGUAGGGUAAUGGCCUACCAAGGCAAAGACGGGUAGGGGACCUAAGAGGGUGAACCCCCACACUGGCACUGAAACACGGGCCAGACACCUACGGGUGGCAGCAGUAGGGAAUUUUGGACAAUGGGCGAAAGCCUGAUCCAGCAACGCCGCGUGCGCGAUGAAGGCCUUCGGGUUGUAAAGCGCUUUUAGAGGAGAUGAGAAAGGACAGUAUCCUCUGAAUAAGCCUCGGCGAACUACGUGCCAGCCGCCGCCGUAA
rnacentral:rRNA from 1 species